UUUGGCUGAAGUUAGAGAGGAGCAGAGCACCAAGCCAGGGUGAGAGAGUAUGUCAGAGAGCCAGAGCGGAGAGAGAGAGAGGCUCAACUGAAGCCGAAAGUUGUUUUUGCCAAAAAAAUGCAGCAGCUCAGGCUCAGAGCUUAGAAGCUAAGUAAUUUAUAGAGCUCUUUUAAAGAUUCUAGAAUGCCCCCCGAGAUCUGAAAUACACAUUUUCAUGGCCGGACCACGUUUUUCGGUUGGCUCGUGUUAAAGGCAAACAACAAAUGCAUGGGAAAUAAACAAACAAGAUAUAAACACA